rnacentral:rRNA from 1 species
GACGAAGGUGGCGAGCGUUGUUCGGAAUCACUGGGCAUAAAGCGCACGUAGGCGGUGCCGUAAGUCGGGUGUGAAAUCCCUCGGCCUAACCGAGGAACUGCGCCCGAUACUGGUGGGCUCGAAUCCGGGAGAGGGAUGUGGAAUUCCAGGUGUAGCGGUGAAAUGCGUAGAUAUCUGGAGGAACACCGGUGGCGAAGGCGGCAUCCUGGACCGGUAUUGACGCUGAUGCGCGAAAGCCAGGGGAGCAAACGGG